rnacentral:lncRNA from 10 species
UAGAUAUUCUAACAAGAAUUUCUGGAAGAAGCUGAAUUACUUCUCUGAGGAUGUCUUGUCACUAAAACAUGGAGAAUCCAACCUACCCUGCGUAGUUGUGGAAUCCCUCAGAUGACAGCAGUGAAGGUGAUCCCUAGGCAUGCUAAAGGCAGAGAAGCACUGGUCUAAACUGCAGACAUGGUUUUGGGGAUAUGAAGAAAGAAGAGAUAUCAGAGAUAUUUAGCAGAAUAAGGAUGAAGAUAGCACAUUCUCAUUGUCAUUAAGAUUAAAAUAAUCAAGAUGUAUGAACUGAGCACAGUAAGAUCAGAGACAUAAUAUGGACUCAGCAAUGCUGGCUGAUUUUGCGGGAUUAUUAAUGAAGAUGUUAAAUAAGAAGAAAGCAACAUCCUUC